rnacentral:rRNA from 1 species
CACCUAGACGUUCUGGGCUGCACGCGCGCUACAAUAAUACGCACAGCGAGUAUCACCGAGCUCGAAAGGGCAAGGUAAACAAUAGAAAAGGUACUGUAAUGGUUAUAGAUCCUUGUAAUUAUUGAUCUUCAACGAGGAAUUCCUAGUAAGUAUGUGUCAUCAUCACGCACUGAUUACGUCCCUGCCCUUUGUACACACCGCCCGUCGCUCCUACCGAUUGGGUGAGCCGAUGAAACUCUCGGAUGUAGGCUAUUCAUAGCCCGCAGAAGAGAUUUGAAUCGUAGCGCUUAGAGGAAGGAGAAGUCGUAACA